rnacentral:lncRNA from 1 species
CACAAAACUCAAAAUUAAGCAAAAUCACAGGCAUCGAGUCGAAAGUGGUUGCCAGGCAGAAGAAAAUGUCUAAAGAUUAGUUAUUGACUCAAAGUUAAUCUUAACCUAAAUUCUCCAUUCAUGGUUUUUCUAGACAUGUAACAGCGGGUAUAGUACCACCCCAAACAAAUGUACAGACCAAUCAAAUUGCAUCCAUGACAACUAUUAACACAAUUACCACAGAUCGUUUAUAAAAACUAAAUCAAUAUACAUUUUCAAGGGACACAACAACAAUUCCAAAAAAUAUUAAAAACUUCAAUUAAAGACCAUCCACACAAAUACAUGAAUAUAGUUUCAGGAGGGCUCAUGUAUUUCUCAUUUUACAUAUCACUAAAAGAGACGCAACAUAAAUAAACCUCAAGUUCCAAGAUACCGACUCCAGUAAGAAGACUAAACCCACAAGCAGUAAAAAAUCGAAUAAUUUACCGCCUAAAACAAAGUACAUAUAACUCUUGUUUAAAGCUUGUCUCACCAUUUUUUGAGAGGGCUCUCCGCAAUUGCUCAGGCAUUUAGUCUCACUGUAAAUGUCAGUGAAGAACUCCUGCAAUCAUAAUCAAAUUUGGUUUAUUAAUUACUUGUAACAAUUCAUCGACCAUUGUUUCUUGUAAUUGAGCAUAUAGAACAUAUUCACGACAUACACAAGUAUAAAGAAAAUUUUCUACAGAGGAAUCAUUUGCAACAAGAGAAGCAUAAUUAAGCUGAAGAAUAUAUACCAUAUUUGGUCAGUCUUCAGCUUAAAUUUGGUACCCUGAAUCACAAUCUUUAACAUAAAUGAGCGAUGCAAU